UGUACGUUGUGUGAAGCAUGUAAUGGCUACAAUUGUAAUGGCACAUGUUUACGUGCAGAACAGUCAUCCAUGAUAAUCUGACCUCUUCCCUUCUCUGGUAACGCAGCUCAGUGGGAAGGUUCAAGGCAGCAGUGUGCAGGAGUGGUCAGGGCACUGCACUUACACUGGGACGGCAGAGGGCUCAAUAGCAGCCAGCAGUGAGCAGACCCUCAUGAAGAGCGAGCGCCCGGGGAGCACACUGCCAGCCACCACGCCGCGGCCCAGCCUCUGCACAGGGGCCAGGGGAAGAGCAGGUGUCUGCGUUUCCUGCUGACUCCCCCAGGCCCGGUCGUUGCUGAGGGCCAAGGCCCCUCUGUGCUGAAGUCUGCCCUCUCUGUAACCCAGCCCUGGGCAAGCAGGCUACUGCUCCACCAACUUCUCUUACAAAAGGAUCAAAUUAGCUAACAAGGGAAGCUGGAUCAUCUCAUAUUCAUGCAUUUACAGACUGAAAACAUGAACGACAGCUCUUUAAAUCAUACUGUAUGUGCCAAGGACAGACAUGGAGGAAAAGUGCUAGUGCACAUUAUUACUCCUAAGUGUGUGUGUAGAAGUCACUCCUCGCCUGCUCACCUCCCAGUGAACUCCCCAGCCUCGGCAGACAGGGAUUUCUCUCCGCUACGCUGAGGCCGUUUCUCGAGUGCAGCGCGAGUUCAGGGAGCUGUCUGAGGAGAGCAGGAACACGUGACAGGAUGGCUGCGAUGGUACGAAUGCAGCCCUGACGAUGGCGGGCCACAACACCUGGCUGGUCAUUAUUUCACUGGCAAGCAAACAACCGAACCAAAAUAAGAACAAAAAAGCACUUUUGCUGACAGCAGGGAGCUCUGCGACAGCAGAGAGACAGGCAGGCUACAGCGUUGUGCUGGGUUCAAUCUGACUGGGCUGCCAGGGACAGCCGCACUCCGAAUGCUAAGCAGAACAGAUACUUUUUUAAUAACUCUGUUCCUGUCUCUCAUAAUGGCCGGGGAAUUACAUCACUGUGUCUUAGCACUCCCACAGCUAAAAGUUCACCCUUCUCUAUAAUUUAAGUUCCAUUACCAUUCAGUAACUAGUGCUGGAGUUGGCUAUUAUAAGAAAGCAGCACAAAAGUUUUUGAGGUGUAUACUGCAUAAUGACUUAAUGGCAUGAAUUGUGACAAAGAAGUCAGCUCCCGAAUGACACAAAGAAAGGUACUCAGCUCCCAUCAGCUGCCCAAGCUCUCUCAAUUCAAGGAACUUUGACUAAUUUUCAGUUGUCAUAAAGGCCUCAGUUUCAGUGUCAGGCUCUUCCUCCAUAGGCAGUGUAACAUUUUCCAUGCUGAAUAGGUAGAAAUUACAAAAUAAAAAGCCUGAAAAGUGCAGAAUGAUUUCAGACCCAAAGCUUUUUGAAUGGGUUGAACUAACUCCUCAGUGGCUACACUGUCCUGCACAGCCACAAAACAUCAAGGAUGGUCUGCAGCUGUCGCUGAACCUAGUGGACUCUUGCUAAUAUCCCAAGUGUCUUGUACAGAGUUCUACCAUUUCCUACAGAAACACAGGAGACUGAGAGAGAAUAUGUUUUUCUUCUACCCUUGUCAGUGCUAUGUACCUGCUGCAUCUGUAGUGUAUUGUCUGUUAGUGUACUUGGUGAAUAGUGUAAUUUACCUGUCAUGCCAAUGAAGCCCUUUGAAUUGCACUGCAUAACAGAGAGACUCACACAGAGACAGAAGGACAGAGAUGUGUUGAGCUUCCAACCCUGCAAUUUUAGCUCCUUUAUGUUUUUUUUUACUAUCAUCACAAAGAAAAUAUACGUUUCUGUCUGGUCUGGUAUAUCACUUCUCUUAUCUGGUUAAUGGAGAUUCUCAAGCACUUCAGGAAGCACGAACAAGAGCUGUUUGGUUUGCAUCAGGCGCAGGAGCCUGUCUGUGGGACGGGCUUUUCUCUUGUUUUCUCAUGGCUUGUUUGUCGCCUUCAUUCCCAUCAUACCUCUUCUUGAACUACAAUGCAGCUACAGAGACCGGAGCAGGAGACCGAGUAAAAACGGGAUCUGUUUGUUCAGCUGUUUCCUGAUACUGUCCUCCCCACAGGCUGUCUGGGGGCUGAGGUACCAGUCUGGUCACUGUCUGUCUGCUGGGGUGAACUUUCACAGAAGCUUCCAGACAAGAUGAAAAUACAAGUCGCAUCAUGUGAGAGCUGAAGAGCCAACGGGGAGGCAUUCCAACAUUUUCACAGAUUUGUAUUUGCUCCCAUCUUCUUAAACCAGCUGUAAAAUUGAAGCAAAAAUGGAUGACAGUGAUGAAAAGUAACAUUUUGUUUGCUGAAAUCUGCGUUUUUACCGCGGAGCCAGCCUGGCAAAGGUGGAUCACAUUCUGCACGAGCGAAAAGGCCUUGAAAGUCAUCUCAUUAACCUUUUGAGUGGACAGCAGCCGAAGGCUGAGCUGAUCCAGGCUCCUCACAGAGCUCCAGUGCAUAACGAGGUGGUUCCCUGCAGCUCCUCCAGAGCAGCCACGGGCCCUGUUCCCUGUGCAGAGGAGGGGUCAGGACACAGAGUCAUGCCUCACAGGAGGAGCAGCUCUGCACAGGGCUCAGAGACAGAGAUCAGCACCUGAAACUGGGAUGUCCUACUGGAACCAGUUGGCCGGGACCCUUCAAAACACCAGCUGACUCCUGGAUCACAAGCGACAUCCUGCAAGGCGGAGCCGGUUCCGGACCGUCUGGUCUGUGUGUCUGAGAAGCGAGGAGAGCAACAGGAAGUUUACACCAUCACGACAGAGCAGCUACGCUCCAGCCCUCCUCUCCACCGCGGGCGGCACCCAGGCCCACUGCAAGCGCCGCAGAGGAUCUGCUCAGCCCUCCCUUCACCGAGUCCGCAGGGCUGGCAGAGCCACGCUCCAGAAUCAUGACAGCUUUUCUCUGAAAGGUCACAGCUCCCCCUCCUCGUGCCAAGCCGGAGAGCAAAUAUUCAGAUGGAAAAUUAGUCUCCGGCUGGCAGCUAAUCUUGAGUCUGGAAAUUGGAAUGCCCUGUCAAAAAAAAAAAAAAAUACAAAUGAAACAAACAUGAUAGAUAUGUACACAUCAGCGAGAGGAAGAAAUGAGAAAGAAAAGGAAUGGAUGGCUUGAGAGAUUGCAUAUUGUUAUUUUUGUACUUUAGACAGACAAUCUGUAAUCAGCUUUCAGAUACCAUGUGGGUAAAGUCACUGACAAAGGGGCGUGAGUCAGGCCAGCUCCCGUCUCUGGCAACAGCACACGAGCCAGGAAACAAGAACGAUUUCACUGACCACUGCAAAGCCAAACACAGCUACUGAUCUAACGUAUAAACCAGCGUGCAACACAGAGCAGUCAUCUCCACAGCACCAGGGCUUCAACUGUUGGUCCAACAUGCACUGCGUCCGCAGGCUGGGGGACCCGGGCGCCUCUUUCCCCAGCUGGCACGGUGUGCGUCCCCCUAACAUACCGGAUUCCUUCUGCCAGCCUUCAUUUCCUGUACGGAUUUAGUCACGGACGCGUCGUACCCUGAAGAUGGAAAAAAAAAAACAAAACAAAUCAGAGCACAGACAUGUGGAGAACCUUUUGUGCCAAAAUAAUUUAUUAUUUCACUUGUUGACUCAUCAAUCCAUGUGCCAAUUCAUCCAUUCAUUUACUUCAUUCAUCUGUUGACAAAUUAAAUUAAUUCAUAAG